UACGUAGGGUGCAAGCGUUGUCCGGAAUUAUUGGGCGUAAAGAGCUCGUAGGCGGUUUGUCGCGUCUGCUGUGAAAACCCGAGGCUCAACCUCGGGCCUGCAGUGGGUACGGGCAGACUAGAGUGGCGGUAGGGGAGAUUGGAAUUCCGGGUGUAGCGGUGGAAUGCGCAGAUAUCAGGAGGAACACCAAUGGCGAAGGCAGAUCUCUGGGCCGUAACUGACGCUGAGGAGCGAAAGCAUGGGGAGCGAACAGG
rnacentral:rRNA from 1 species